AUUAAAAGUUUCUAUCAUAAGAACAAAAACAACAUGAAUUUUAACCUCGAUUCAACUCCACAAAAUUGAGCUCACAUGAUGUAUCUACCCGCGAUACUAAACAGCUGAUGCAGGUUGGCGGCUCUUAAGUCCAAACAAAUUUGCAAACAACUUGGGAGCCAUAGGAGGAAUGUUCAUGGCCUGUGGAGCCAUGAAAUUGACAAUCUUCUCAUGGACAUUGUACCUGAUCUUCCGACUCUUCGAGGCACGCCGAUCGACAAUCUUUCUCUUCUUAUUUUGCAAUUUUUUCAGAGCAUAAAAAGCCAUUUCAGAGGAUGUGGGGUCGAUUGACUCAAAAAAUUCUUUCAGUAAUUGCUGAUAAAAUUCCGUGUCAUCAAGAAGUUCAGGGUCAACAUCAGGACUUGCUGCCUCUCCCUUGGCAUUUCCAAGCUGCUCAGAAACAGUUCCAAAUAUACUGACUGUUGAUCUACUUUGUUGCAUUUGCUUCAUCAUUCUACUUGGAUCCCUCAUAUAAGAAGCAACUUGUUCACUUAUAUUCUGAUUAAAAGCCUGCAAUUUGCUUUUAAUAGCAGCAGCACCAGUUGUCACUUGCGUCUUUCUCUGCCAUUUAUCAAUUGAUUUGUCUCUAAAAGGAGCUAUUCUACUAUGCAUGUGAGAAAUUCUUAACCAUUCUUCAUCACUUUCCUCAUCUGAUUUCUUAGAAUCUUUCGGAAGCUUCUUUGCAGAUUUCCCAGAAUUACCAUUGGAAGAUUGAUAUAUAGAUGGAUUAUUCUCGAGUAAAGCCUCCUGUAAUUCCAGCAGUGAUUCCAAAGUCUUCUCAGAUGAGGCAAUCAGAUCAGUAUAAGCUGUACUAACUCCUCCAUCUGAAUCACAAAAUGACGACCUAACUGGUUCCUGUGGCAAUCUAUUUGAACUUGAAAAUGCUUUCUGAAGUAAGAACCUAAACUCAAGAGUCUUGUCCCAGAGAGCCUUUUGGUUCUUCACUGCUUGACCUUUAAGAAGAUCUUCAUCCUUAUGGCGUUUGAGAUUCUUCAAUAUAUCUUGCUCUUGGUUACGAAGAUGCAUGUAUUCUUUCUCAAGUUCUUCCAUCUCAGCAUCUUUAUGGCUAUCAUUCUGCAUAUCUCCCUCCCCUUCACUCUUAUCUUCCUCCUCCUCCUCUACUUCUUCCUCUUCCUCUCCCUCUCCCUCUCCCUCUCCCUCU
rnacentral:misc_RNA from 1 species